rnacentral:lncRNA from 1 species
GUUUGGCUCUCCAUCACUGUUUCUCUCCGUCUCCAAGCAACCCCAGCUUGCUGUGCGUGUUGCCUCUGCCUUUCUACCCACUUUGUUGUACCUUCAUCACCUUCUGUCAGCGUGCGUGCGUUCGUUCGUUGGCCUCAUCUAUUUCCGGAAAAGGUGGGAAAUAAGCUUCACACGUUUCCAGUGGCUACUGUGAAAGAGAUUGAUGUUGCCCG